UCAUAGGAUAUUUUAAAUAAAAUACUGACUUUGGGAGUCUUUGAUAAUAAUAGAUUUAUUUCUUUUGA
rnacentral:tRNA from 1 species